GUGAUGGGUCGCCCCACCGCGGCGCUGCAAGGCGACGAGGAAAGUCCGGGCAACGCAGAGCACCCUGCUUCCUAACGGGAAGGACUGGGCGGCGUAAAGCUUCUCAGGACAGCCAGUGCCACAGAAAACUACCGCCAAGCGGUGGAUGAGUAAGUGAGCGAAUGAGUGAAGCAUUAUUUGUUCUGCGCAAGCGAAACGAAUAACUCACUCAACCACUCAUUCACUCAAUCACCUUUGGUAAGGGUGAAAAGGUGCGGUAAGAGCGCACCAGCGGCUGGGUGACCAGUCCGGCUGGGUAAACCUCAGGGGUUGAAAGACCAAAUAAGCCAGUACGUGGCCCUUCGGGGGCGCACCGGGCGGCUCGUCCGGCGCUGGCGGGUAGGUUGAUGGAGCCCGCGCGCAAGUUCGGGCCUAGAUAAAUGGUGGGGCCGCGUGCUUUCGGGCGGGCGGACAAAACCCGGCUUACAGACUCAUCACCGUC
rnacentral:RNase_P_RNA from 1 species